rnacentral:lncRNA from 1 species
UUUUAUUAUGGUGUCAAGAUCUAGGUCUGAUUCUCCGAGGUUUUACCCUCUUUUGGGGCUCCUCACGGAGAUAUCUCCAGAAUCCAUUCAAUGGAUAUUCGGAGAUUAAUCGGAAUAGAGUUCUUAAGUUUCAGAUCUGAUAGUUAAUCAUGCAUGAAAGUUUUAGCAUAAUUGUUUAAACGAUUCCAGCAUAAUCCUAUGUGUUCUUAAGGUGCUGAUUUCUAGAUUUGAUCUUGUAAGCAUGCAUGAAUUAAAUUGUUUGAUUCGA